rnacentral:rRNA from 1 species
CUGAGCUUGAUGGCUGGAUGUGUGCACACAUGUAAUGGGGUAUCAUGGUCACGUUGCUUGGUGUGCAGAGGCGACCCGGCACCGGCACUUGCCCGGCGGUGGGACUUCGCCGUGGCCGGUGGGAGAGUUGGGUGGCAGCAAGCGGUGCGGCGAGGGGAGGCACACGGUCCAGAGGGUGGGACUCUUGCUAGCCGCUCUCCCGGUCCAUUUGGUUUCUUGCGGCCACGGUGGCGUUUCUCGGAUCGAGCGCCGCUCGUCCUUCUCUUCACUACUUCUCCACAAUGCUAGCCCCUCCACCUCUCCUUCCUCCCCCUCGUUGUGUGGUGUCCAUGGGAUGUGCCUAGAUCCAGAUCAGGCGUAGGUUAGGUGAGGCUGAUGGUUGGGUGAAGGAGUAGGGAAAGCGGGCGACGAGGACAGGAAGAAGCCGGCCGUCGUGGUGCAGUGGGGCUGCCGGGAAGGAAGAGGUCGGCUGCGUCCCCGGCGGUGUCGGUGGAGCUGCUCCUCAACGAGAUUCGGCCAUGGAGAGGACCGUGGUGCCAGCGCAGCCUCGCCCCCUCUAGCGCAGCGCAAGAGAUCAGCACACCAUCGAACUGAGAUUAGGCUUCUGUGGUGUUGCUUUGUAUACAGAUGACAUGCUCGCCUCUUGGUUUAAUUUAGGAGUGUAUUUAGAAGCUAAAACUGAACAAUAAUAUCAGUUUAGAGAUGCAGUUGACCAUUUUUCACAAAGUCGAUGUGUUGUCGCAGCAGUAACACACGUGCAGUCCUUUCUGGCCAUUUGACUGUAACAAAUUGCUUACAAAACCACUUGUACAUUGAGAAAAGCCUUUGUACAUCGUUUCUUAGUUACAUAUGAGUGUUAGUUUUGAACAAAUGCUGAAACGCAUCUCUGAAUUGGGAAACGACAGUGGGCACCUUUACUAAAACAUAAAGCUAAUUUGCUGAUGCUCUGUUUGCAAAUGUCUUGUUGUACGCCUGCCAAAAUAAGAAAAUAGGUAGGAGUCAAAAUAUUGUAGGACAAAGAAUAGGCAUGUACAGAAAGUUGUAUCAAAUAAAUUAUAAAUAGUUGCACUACAGUAUGCAAUUCAGUUUAGCACUGAACCAAUAUUUGAGAGAAGUACCUAUAUUAAUUUUCACUGAACGAGGUGAAAACUGAUUAAAAAAUAUUUCAGAGAAGCACUACAGUCUACAAUUCAGUUUACAGUCCUGCACGAGGUGGCGGGUAGCGAGUCGGCCUUGGAGGUAUAGAUUAGCCAUGGACAUAGGGUCACUGGGGGAGGAUGAAAGGAGAGAACCCAUAAAAAGUUCAAAUGACGAGUCGAUGCCGGAGUAAGCGGAAGGGGC